rnacentral:rRNA from 1 species
AUUGAACGCUGGCGGCAUGCUUUACACAUGCAAGUCGAACGGUAACAGGCCGCAAGGUGCUGACGAGUGGCGAACGGGUGAGUAAUGCAUCGGAACGUGCCCAGUCGUGGGGGAUAACGCAGCGAAAGCUGCGCUUAUACCGCCUACGAUCUGUGGAUGAAAGCGGGGGACCGAAAGGCCUCGGGCGAUUGGAGCGGGCGAUGUCAGAUUAGGUAGUUGGUGGGGUAAAGGCCCACCAAGCCAACGAUCUGUAGCUGGUCUGAGAGGACGUCCAGCCACACUGGGACUGAGACACGGCCCAGACUCCUACGGGAGGCAGCAGUGGGGAAUUUUGGACAAUGGGCGCAAGCCUGAUCCAGCAAUGCCGCGUGCAGGAAGAAGGCCUUCGGGUUGUAAACUGCUUUUGUACGGAACGAAACGGCUCUGGUUAAUACCUGGGGCUAAUGACGGUACCGUAAGAAUAAGCACCGGCUAACUACGUGCCAGCAGCCGCAGUAACAC